GUCUCUGUAUCAGAGUGGAUACCGCAUUGGACUUCUAAUCCAAAGGGCGUGGGUUCAAAUCCCAACUGGGAUG